GAGUUUCACCAUUUGCUGCAUCGCUGC
rnacentral:sRNA from 1 species